GUGUGGCGCAAUGGGUCAGUGCAUCUACCUCUUAACCAGAAAGUUGGUGGUUCGAGCCCACCCAGGGAUG
rnacentral:tRNA from 1 species